AAUAGCCGUUUCUUUUUUAUUAUAUGAUAGUUUAUUAAUAUAUACAUAUAUAUAUAUAUAUUUACUGUAAUAUUAAUAUUUAGAUAUUAUAUUCUGUAUAUCGUUGUUAUGAGAUUGUAUUAUAAUUGAUAUGUACAUAUUAUUUUUCCUGGUCUGUUCAAAAGUCUAAUGAUGCAAUAUUCUCUCAAGAAAAAGAUGAAACAGGUUACAUAUAUAUGUAUAUGUAUAUGUAUGUGUAUGUGUAUAUGUAUAUGUAGUAGCUAGUAACUAUAAUUAAAAGGGUUUAUCCUGAGUAACCAGAGAAUGUAUAUAUAUAUAUAUAUAUGUCAGACAAAAAUGCGGUCUGUAAUCAAACAAAAAUUAAGAAUAGAUCAGAUGAGUAGUUGUAGAGAUAAAGAAAGAUGGAGAUAUGGACUGAUUGGAUUAUUAAUUGUGGGUAGGUCUGGUUUUAGCUUAAACAUAUUCAUAUUUGUGGUUU
rnacentral:lncRNA from 1 species